rnacentral:rRNA from 1 species
GACGAACGCUGGCGGCGUGCCUAAUACAUGCAAGUAGAACGCACAGUUUAUACCGUAGCUUGCUACACCAUAGACUGUGAGUUGCGAACGGGUGAGUAACGCGUAGGUAACCUGCCUGGUAGCGGGGGAUAACUAUUGGAAACGAUAGCUAAUACCGCAUAAUAUUAAUUAUUGCAUGAUAAUUAAUUGAAAGGUGCAAUUGCACCACUACCAGAUGGACCUGCGUUGUAUUAGCUAGUAGGUGAGGUAACGGCUCACCUAGGCGACGAUACAUAGCCGACCGGGGAGGGUGAUCGGCCAAACUGGGACUGGGACACGGCCCAGACUGCUACGGGAGGGAGCAGGAGGGAAACGUCGGCAAUGGACGGAAGUCUGACCGAGCAACGCCGCGUGAGUGAAGAAGGUUGUCGGGUCGGAAAGGUCUGUUGUAAGGGAAGAACGGGUGUGAGAGUGGAAAGUUCACACUGUGACGGUAACUGAACAGAAAGGGACGGCUAACUACGUG